rnacentral:rRNA from 1 species
CACGUAGGGCGCAAGCGUUGUCCGGAAUUAUUGGGCGUAAAGAGCUCGUAGGUGGUCUGUUGCGUCCGCUGUGAAAACUCGGGGCUUAACCCCGAGCCUGCAGUGGAUACGGGCAGACUAGAGGUAGGUAGGGGAGAAUGGAAUUCCUGGUGUAGCGGUGAAAUGCGCAGAUAUCAGGAGGAACACCGGUGGCGAAGGCGGUUCUCUGGGCCUUACCUGACACUGAGGAGCGAAAGCCAGGGGAGCAAACGGG